UCCAACAGUCAACAGAACAACACCAGCAGCAGCGCUUUGGGUCAUAACUUCUGAACCAGAUGGUGGGGGCGCCCACUCCACCGGUCCAACUCUCAUCUCGUUCUUAUCCACCCAUCCAUUUUCUAUCUAGCACAAGCACCAAGCAAAUACUCUCUCUCUCUCUCUCCUUCGGAGCCUCACAACCAACUCUGACGGAGCGCCGGGGGUUGUUUCCGGCGAGAUGGAUCCCACAGGAGCGUGGCAGCCGGCGAGCGUUCACACAGGAUGCCUCGAAGUCGCUUGCUAGCUAGGCCAAGGACCUCUCAGCAUCUCGCUCGGUGAUGAUGGAAAAGGCCCAUCCACUGCCUCCCCACAACCUUCAAGGCCAUCGAUCGAAUCCAUGUGCAAGAAGACAUCAGUGGCCUUCCAUGGUGAGGCAGCAUGGCGCACCACCAGCAAGAGCCGAUCACAACUGCGAGCUUUUUUUUAUUUGGUCCGAUUUUGGCCUGGUGGCAUCGAUUUUAGGUCUCGAUCUAUUGUUUGAUUCUAUUUGGUAUUCAUCUUGCCUUUCUCGUUUAGGUCUCAAACAAUAUAUCGAUUUGUUCUAUGUGACUUCUGCUUCUCUCCACAUCGCCGAGACUCCUGAUCUAUCUCCACACCAUCGAAUAGUGUUUAUUUUGGGGGCUUCGAUUUGAUUUCGAACAUCGGUUGGGAUUAUUGUAUCCAAACUUUAUUGUUGUAGUGUCUUGCGGCCUCUAUUAGAGGUUGGACUGGACGUGUGGUCUGCCUUUGUUCCGGUGGUGACGGAUCCGGUUCUGACUCGCUUGCACUAAAAUUUUUGUGUGGGAACGAAAGAAAAAAAUUUAUUAUUUUUUCGUCUGUGCCAGCGUUGAAGCUACCGGGAAUAGCCAAGCUGGGAGGUUUCCUUCAACGACCAGGUCGCCUUGCCACCUCUCUUGCCGGACGCUGGUCCAUGCAGAAUGCCAGUGGAGUCUCUCGUUGCCGCCUCCGCCCGCACCGUCGUUGCUGCCGAU
rnacentral:lncRNA from 1 species